CAAGACGAGCCCCCCCACCGAGUCAGAUCGGGUAAGGCCCCCGGGAGACUACCGGGUGGACAGGCGGCAGGUGGACGGCGGGUAACCGACCGGAGCCAAGCCGUGCUGAUGGCCGAGGGCAAUCACUCC
rnacentral:rRNA from 1 species